AACGAACGCUGGCGGCAGGCUUAACAUAUGCAAGUCGAACGAGUGUAGCAAUACAUCAGUGGCAGACGGGUGAGUAACACGUGGGAACCUUCCUAGGGGUACGGAACAACUCAGGGAAACUUGAGCUAAUACCGUAUACGUCCGUGAGGAGAAAGAUUUAUCGCCCUUAGACGGGCCCGCGUCGGAUUAGCUAGUUGGUGGGGUAACGGCCUACCAAGGCGACGAUCCGUAGCUGAUCUUAGAGGAUGAUCAGCCACACUGGGACUGAGACACGGCCCAGACUCCUACGGGAGGCAGCAGUGGGGAAUCUUGGACAAUGGGCGCAAGCCUGAUCCAGCCAUGCCGCGUGAGUGAAGAAGGUCUUCGGAUUGUAAAGCUCUUUUGCCAGGGACGAUAAUGACGGUACCUGGAGAAUAAGCCCCGGCAAACUUCGUGCCAGCAGCCGCGGUAAUAC
rnacentral:rRNA from 1 species